GGAGACGUGUAUUCUAGAAAUUAAACAUUUGUGUGCCAUAUCUCUUGAGUUUUGGAGAACAAUUGGAGCUCAAGCUACUAUAAAUGACAAGAUUAUCUUGGAUAUCUUUUUUAGCUUUCUGCAAAAUCACUUAUGUUUUAUAUACCUCUGCUAAUAAUUCAAAACUCUGAAUUUGCUUUACUGUAUUAACUUUUUUAAAAUGUAUUUUUGCAAUUGGUUUAAUUACUACAAAAGCCUAAAAAGCUAAUGACUAGGUGCAUGUUUAGUAUGCACUGUCUAGUGUAAAUUUUUUUUAAGCAGUAGAUUUUUAUUAGAGAUUAACUUCCAGGCCAUAUGAGAAUAUGCUUAAUCCUAGAUUUGGCAUUUUACAGAAAAGAAUUUUGACUCUUGAACUAGAAUUAAAAACUUGUUCUGAUUUCCUUGCUUGCCUCAAUUUCUAAAGUCUAGAAGUGGCAAAGAAUUUAGAUCACUUAUGCCCACAGAAUCUGUAUUUCCUUCCAGGGCAAAGUUGGCAUUUCCUAUCUACUAGCUUCCAAAAUAAAGUAAUCCUAGUUAUGAUAAUAAGAGCAACCUUAUUUUAUUACACUUAGAACCAUUUUAUGUUUUCAAAUUAAUCUUUGAGUGAAGAUGAACUAAAAAAAAAAAUGCGUUUUGUCCCGGGUUGCCUGCAGGUUCCAGUCUGCUGCCUCCGGUCACUGAAGAGGCAGUGAGGACUGGCACGGGGUGGGCUGGAAAGCCAAGCUGUCUUUUCAGGGUGCACAGUGCCCCAGCCAUAGCACAGCUUAGAAACAUGGAUGAGUAGACCUCAAGAUAGGUGAACACGGAGUAGGGAGCAAAAGAAGGCAGAAACUCCUCUGAGUUUCACAAGCAUCAGGCACAGAUCAGGGCACAAAGGAAGAAGAAAGAAGGUAGUUACCACUGGUCUGUCUCUGUAAAUAGUUACAGAGCAAUUUUACUUUGUGUUAUUUAGGAUUGAGAAACAAGUGUUAUUUAAAAGUCCUCUUACCCUCCAACCUUUGUCAUACUCCACAAUAUCUGAUGCCAUUUAGGCCUCUGAGCCAGUACAUAUUUUAUUGAAACUUUUUUUCUUUUGAGGCAGAGUCUUGCUUUGUAACCCAGGCUGGAGUGCAGUGGCACAAUCUCAGCUCACUACAACCUCAACCUCUAGGGCUCAGGAGAUCUUCCUGCCUUAGCCUGCCUAGUAGCUGAGACUACAGGCACGCACCACCACAGGCUAACUUUUUAAAAUUAUUUUUGUAGAGACAGGGUUUGGCAGUGUUGCCAGGCUGGUCUGGAACUCCUGAGCUCAAGCAGUCUGCCCGCCUAGGCCUCCCAAAAUGCUGGGAUUACAGGAGUGAGCCACUGCUCCUGGCCCAGCUGAUUUUUUUGUUUUUUUGUUUUUUAUUUUAAGAAAUGGAGUCUCACUACGUUACCCAGGCUGGUUUCAAACUCCUGGGCUCAAGCAAUCCUGCCUUGGCCUCCCAAAGAGCUGGGAUUACAAGCAUGUUGAAACAUUUUGAGUAGUUGUUGAUUGCUAAAGGAAUUUCCAUCAGAAAUCUAGGUAUUCAGCCAUGCUUUCCAAAUCUUGUUUUAUUCUUCCACUGAUAAUAUUGGUCCUAUUAAGUUGUGGUGUAGUGAAGUAUUCACAAAUUUCAAUCCAAAAAAUUAUGUGAAUAGUCAGGGAGUUCUUUCUGUACCCUUGAGUUAUUUUAUCACUGUCAUGUGUACACCUCAUAGGAAAGUUCCGCUUUGAGAAUGAGCACAAGGAACAGAUAGGAAAUGUGCAGCGGGUGCCGAUGUGUAGUCCUGCAGCCUGCAAGUCCAUGUGUGUAGGAAGAGGCAGUCACUUCCUCAGUCAGUAGCUUUUCAUCUGAAACAACAAAACUAGUGGUAGGAAGCUUCUGAGAUGGUUCCCAGUGAAACCUGCCCGCUGGUGUGCACUCUUGUGUAACCUCCUGUCCUUGGGUGUGAGCUGGACUUAGUGGCUUGCUUCUGAGGAGUAGAACAGAAGCAGGAAGGGAGAGAGCACUCGUGAGGUUUGGUGGCAGAAAGUCUCUGGCUUCUGUCUCCUUGCCCUCUCUUACUUUUGUGCUUUCCUGCUCGGAAGGUGAGGUGUUCUUUGGAAAGGCCCAUGUGACGAGAAGCAGAACUUUCCAGCCAACAGCUAACAUGGAACUGAGGCCCUCAUUCCAAUAGCCUCCAACUGAAUCCUGCCAACGAGACAUGAGUUUGGAAGGGGAUCCACCCCAGUGGAACUCUUGAGAUGACUGCAGCCAACACCUUGAUUGCAGCCUUGUGAGAGACAAACCAAGAUGUUUGUUUAAGUGCUAAAUUUGGGGGUAAUUUUUAUGCCGUUACAGAUAACUAGUACAAAGCUAGAAAAAGAAAAAGGCAUAAUACAAAUUUUAUUAUCUUAAUGAGGCUACCAGCAUCUGAAGAACUGAAAUAAGGAGAAUUGUUCUUCCUCCCGCAUGAGCACCUGUCAGCUACCUUAGUCUUACCUUAAAUAAAAACACUUAACCAAAUACAUUCUCUCUCUCAAGGACAGCAAAAGAUAUUGAAAUUUGAUGAUUCUGUAUUUGAAAUGUAAACCAGAUUACAAUUAAACUCUAACUCUUGAAUACUGUCCCUUUUAAGUCACCAAAUCUCCUUUAAGAUGAAAUUAUCUAAAA
rnacentral:lncRNA from 1 species